AGUGGCGGACGGGUGAGUAACGCGUGGGCGACCUGCCUUACACAGGGGGACAACAGCCGGAAACGGCUGCUAAUACCGCAUAAGCGCACAGUUUCGCAUGGAACAGUGUGAAAAACUCCGGUGGUGUAAGAUGGGCCCGCGUCUGAUUAGCUUGUUGGCGGGGUAACGGCCCACCAAGGCGACGAUCAGUAGCCGACCUGAGAGGGUGACCGGCCACAUUGGGACUGAGACACGGCCCAAACUCCUACGGGAGGCAGCAG
rnacentral:rRNA from 1 species